AGGGAUAGUACAAAUAGAGUUGU
rnacentral:siRNA from 1 species